rnacentral:lncRNA from 1 species
UGGGAACGUAUGGGGUGCGAUGGGGAUCCUAUAUGGGGUGGGGAUCCCAUAUGGGGUGGGGGAUGGCCAUAUAUGGGGUGGGGUAUGGAUGGCGGUCCAUUGGGACCACCCUAUAGGGCCGUAGGGGUGGCACACAGCAUCCCCCAAAUCCUGCACCCUAUAUCCUAUAUCCUGCAUCCUAUAUCCUAUAUCCUAUAUCCUAUAUCCCACACCCUAUAUCCCAUAUCCUAUAUCCCAUAUCCCGUACCCUAUAUCCUGUAUCCCGUACCCUAUAUCCCAUAUUCCAUAUCUCAUAUCCUAUAUGCUAUAUUUCAUAUCCAGUACUCCACAUCCCAUAUCCCAUACCCUAUAUCCUAUAUCCCGUACCCCAUAUCCCAUAUCCCAUACCCUAUAUCGUAUAUCUCACACCCUAUAUCCCAUAUCCUGUAUCCCAUACCCUAUAUCCCAUAUUGCAUACCCUAUAUCCUAUAUCCUGCAGCUUAUAUCCCAUAUCCCAUACCCUAUAUCCCAUAUCCUGCUCCCUAUAUCCCAUAUCCCGUACCCCAUACUCCUAUAUCCCAUAUCCCAUACCCUAUAUCCCAUAUCGCAUACCUUAUAUCCUAUAUCCUGCACCCUAUAUCCCAUACCCUAUAUCCCAUAUCCCAUACCCUAUAUCCCAUAUCCUGCUCCCUAUAUCCCAUAUCCCGUACCCCAUACCCUAUAUCCCAUAUCGCAUACCCUAUAUCCUAUAUCCUGCACCCUAUAUCCCAUAUCCCAUACCCUAUAUCCCAUAUCCCAUAUCCCAUAUCCUAUAUUCUAUAUCCCACAUCCCGUACCCUAUAUCCCAUAUCCCGUACCCCAUACCCUAUAUGCCAUAUCCCAUACCUUAUAUCCUACAUCCCACACCCUAUAUCCCAUAUCCCGUACCCCAUACCCUAUAUCCCAUAUCCCAUACCCUAUAUCCUAUAUCCUGCACCCUAUAUCCUAUAUCCCAUAUACUAUUAUCCCAUAUCCCGUACUCUAUAUCCUGUAUCUCAUAUCCUAUAUCCCAUACCCUAUAUCCCAUACCCUAUAUCCCAUACCCUAUAUCCCACAUACCAUACCCUAUAUCCCAUAUCCCGUACCCCAUACCCUAUAUCCCAUAUCCCAUAUCCUAUAUCCUAUAUCCCACAUCCCAUACUCUAUAUCCCAUAUCCCGUACCCUAUAUCCUAUAUCCCACCCCCUAUAUCCCAUAUCCCAUAUCCCAUACCUUAUAUCCUACAUCCCACACCCUAUAUCCCAUAUCCCGUACCCCAUACCCUAUAUCCCAUAUCCCAUACCCUAUAUCCCAUAUCCCAUAUCCCAUAUCCCAUAUCCCAUAUCCCGCCCGUUCUAUGCUAUACGGGCCGAUCCGCCUCGCCGUCCCUUUACGCCGAGCGCCCCCUAUCGGCCGCGGAGUGCAUUGCAGCGCCGUGCCCCAAUGCCGCUCCCCGCGCUGUGGGGCUGCGAUGGGAUCGGAGGUGUGGGGUCGGCGCCGGACCCUGCAGGACCCCAAUACCCCGACCCCCCCCAGCCCUGCAGGACCCCAAUACCCCGACCCCCCACCCCUGGAGGACCCCCAUACCCCAUCCCCCACCCUUGGAGGACCUCCCCUCACCCCAGGAGGACCUCCAUAUCCCCACCCCCACUCUUGGAGGACCCCAAUGUCCCCCAUGCCAAUCCCUGGAGGACCCCACAUCCCAACCCCCACCCCUGGAGGACCCCCAUAUCCCAUCCCCCCACCCUUGGAGGACCCCAAUAUUCCCACCCCCCAUUCUUGGAGGACCCCAAUAUGCCCAUCCCCCACCCUUGGAGGACCCCAAUGCCCCCCCAGCCCCCCCACCACCCCUGGAGGACCCCAAAAUCCCACUCUUGGAGGACUCACAUAUCCCAUCCCCCAUCCUUGGAGGACCCCAAUGUCCCCCACCCCCACCCCUGGAGGACCCCAAAACCCCACUCCUGGAUGACCCCACAUCCUCACUUCUACCCCUGGAGGACCCCAAUGCCCUCAACCCCCACCCUUGGAGGACCCCAAUACCCCAACCCCCCACCCCUGGAGGACCCCAAACGCCCCCAAACCCCACCCCUGGAGGACCCCCAUACCCCAUCCCCCACCCUUGGAGGACCUCCCCUCACCCCUGGAGGACCUCCAUAUCCCCACCCCCACCCCUGGAGGACCCCCAU